UCUGAACGCUGGCGGCGUGGCUAAGACAUGCAAGUCGAACGGUGUAGCAAUACACAGUGGCGGACGGGUGAGUAAUGUAUCGCUAAUGUACCCCGAUGUCUGGGAUAGCCAGUCGAAAGAUUGGGUAAUACCAGAUGAGACCACAGAACCGCAUGGUUCAGUGCUCAAAGGGUCACCGCAUUGGGAGCAGGCGAUAUCGUAUCAGCUAGUUGGUGAGGUAACGGCUCACCAAGGCGACGACGCGUAUCCGGACUGAGAGGUCGGCCGGACACAUUGGGACUGAGACACUGCCCAGACUCCUACGGGAGGCUG
rnacentral:rRNA from 1 species